UCCAGACUCCUACGGGAGGCAGCAGUGGGGGAUAUUGCACAAUGGGGGAAACCCUGAUGCAGCGACGCCGCGUGAGUGAAGAAGUAAUUCGUUAUGUAAAGCUCUAUCAGCAGGGAAGAAAAUGACGGUACCUGAGUAAGAAGCCCCGGCUAACUACGUGCCAGCAGCCGCGGUAAUACGUAGGGGGCAAGCGUUAUCCGGAUUUACUGGGUGUAAAGGGAGCGUAGACGGCAAUGCAAGCCAGAUGUGAAAGCCCGGGGCGCAACCCCGGGACUGCAUUUGGAACUGUGUAGCUGGAGUGUCGGAGAGGCAGGCGGAAUUCCUAGUGUAGCGGUGAAAUGCGUAGAUAUUAGGAGGAACACCAGUGGCGAAGGCGGCCUGCUGGACGAUGACUGACGUUGAGGCUCGAAAGCGUGGGGAGCAAACAGGAUUAGAUACCCGGGUACA
rnacentral:rRNA from 1 species